GCCGGGGUUCAGAGCCAUUGACGUAGCCGAGAAGAGAUUGGCUGUUUAAGAACUGUUCGAACUGAAACUUCCAAAAGAGGUAAUUUUUGUCAUUUAGCUUGAGAGUAACGCAGUGGACGAUGGUUAAAGGAGAAGUAAACGGAUCACCAUCCAUGGCUCUGAUACCAUGUAAGCUAAGAGAAGCUUAGGUUAGAGAUGAAGAAGAUAACGUUUUAUUCAAG
rnacentral:lncRNA from 1 species